rnacentral:lncRNA from 1 species
AUGUCAGACGCAGCCGUAGACGCCAGCUCCGAAAUCACCAUCAAGGACUUAAAGGAGAAGAAGGAAGUUGUGGAAGAGGCAGAAAAUGGAAGAGACGCCCCUGCUAACGGGAAUGCUAAUGAGGAAAAUGGGGAGCAGGAAGCUGACAGUGAAGUAGAUGAAGAAGAGGAAGAAGGUGGGGAGGAAGAGGAGGAGGAAGAAGAAGGUGAUGGUGAGGAAGAGGAUGGAGAUGAAGAUGAGGAAGCUGAGUCACCUACGGGCAAGCGGGCAGCUGAAGAUGAUGAGGAUGACGAUGUCGAUACCAAGAAGCAGAAGACCGACGAGGAUGACUAG